UACGGAGGGUGCGAGCGUUGUCCGGAAUCACUGGGCGUAAAGGGCGCGUAGGUGGCGCGGGCAGUCAACGGUGAAAGUUCGGGGCUCAACCCUGAAUCGGCCGUCGAUACUCCCGGGCUUGAGCACUGUAGAGGCAAAUGGAAUUCCGGGUGUAGCGGUGGAAUGCGUAGAGAUCCGGAAGAACACCGGUGGCGAAGGCGGUCUGCUGGGCAGUAGCUGACACUGAGGCGCGACAGCGUGGGGAGCAAACAGG
rnacentral:rRNA from 1 species